GAUGCCAUUGUCGUUGAGGUUGGUGAAAAAAUGCCGGCCUUUGGAGUCGGUGCCGGCGCCGUCGGAAACCGGCUUGGCACCG
rnacentral:tRNA from 1 species